UGUGGAAUUUUGCACAAUGGGGGAAACCCUGAUGCAGCGACGCCGCGUGAUUUAGAAGGCCUUCGGGUUGUAAAAAUCUUUUCUAUGGGAAGAAAAUGACAGUACCAUAGGAAUAAGGACCGGCUAAUUACGUGCCAGCAGCCGCGGUAAUACGUAAGGUCCGAGCGUUGUCCGGAAUCAUUGGGCGUAAAGGGUACGUAGGCGGGUAAGCAAGUUAGAAGUGAAAUCCUAUAGCUCAACUAUAGUAAGCUUUUAAAACUGCUCAUCUUGAGGUAUGGAAGGGAAAGUGGAGUUCCUAGUGUAGCGGUGAAAUGCGCAGAUAUUAGGAGGAAUACCGGUGGCGAAGGCGACUUUCUGGCCAUAACCUGACGCUGAGGUACGAAAGCGUGGGUAGCAAACAGG
rnacentral:rRNA from 1 species